GCCCCGCUAGCUCAACUGGCAGAGCAUCUGACUCUUAAUCAGAGGGUUCUUGGUUCGAGUCCAAGGCGGGGCA
rnacentral:tRNA from 1 species